rnacentral:rRNA from 1 species
GUGGGGAAUUUUGGACAAUGGGCGCAAGCCUGAUCCAGCAAUGCCGCGUGCAGGAAGAAGGCCUUCGGGUUGUAAACUGCUUUUGUACGGAACGAAACGGUCCGGGUUAAUACCCUGGGCUAAUGACGGUACCGUAAGAAUAAGCACCGGCUAACUACGUGCCAGCAGCCGCGGUAAUACGUAGGGUGCGAGCGUUAAUCGGAAUUACUGGGCGUAAAGCGUGCGCAGGCGGUUGUGUAAGACAGGUGUGAAAUCCCCGGGCUUAACCUGGGAACUGCGCUUGUGACUGCACGGCUAGAGUAUGGCAGAGGGGGGUGGAAUUCCACGUGUAGCAGUGAAAUGCGUAGAGAUGUGGAGGAACACCGAUGGCGAAGGCAGCCCCCUGGGCCAAUACUGACGCUCAUGCACGAAAGCGUGGGGAGCAAACAGGAUUAGAUACCCUAGUAGUCC